AAAAACAUGGCCUUUUGAUUAUAAUUUUAGGUCUAGCCUGCCCUAUGAGUUUUAAAUGGCCGCAGUAUUUUGACUGUGCAAAGGUAGCAUAAUCAAUAGUUUUUUAAUUGAAAGCUGGAAUGAAAGGUCUUAUGAGAAAAUAGCUGUCUCUAUUAAAAUUUUUUAGAAUUUUAUUUUUAAGUCAAAAAGCUUAAAUAUUAAUUGAAGACGAGAAGACCCUAUAGAGUUUGAUAUUUUUAUUUAUUUUAUAUUUUAGUAUUUUAAAUUUAUUAUAAUUAAAAGUAUUUAGUUGGGGUGAUUGUAAAAUUAGAUAAACUUUUAUUUUAUUAAGUCAUUUAUUUAUGAUUAUUUGAUCCUUUUAUUAAGAUUAUAAGAUAAAAUUACCUUAGGGAUAACAGCGUAAUUCUUUUUAAGAGAUCUAAUCGAAAAAAGAGAUUGCGACCUCGAUGUUGGAUUAAAAUUAAUAUAUGGUGUAGAAGCUAUAAUAUUGGGUCUGUUCGACCUUUAAAAUUUUACUUGAUCUGAGUU
rnacentral:rRNA from 1 species